GAAAUUUAACUUUUUUCGCUGCUUAGCUAAAAAAUGUUAAUCGGAAGAAGCAAAAGUGGAUGGCGUCGUGACAGUAAGAUGGUAUCGAUAUGAUCUAGUCUCAAUUAAGUUAGUCGCAGACUGUUUACCGUUUAACUCCUGUCCCAAUCUAAUCUAGUGGGUUCAAAAAGAAGGGACCGCGCUGGAAACAUGAGUGGAUUAAAAGGAUCAGCCCUUUUUAAAUUAAUAGUUGAAGUGGUAACCAGCUAAAAGUCGUAACCUGCUCGUAUGAAAAGAUUUCUCGACGUGAAAUUGUUAAUUUUAUUAAACGCCAAAAAACAGAAUUCGCUCAAGAAACAGAAAAGAAAAAGAAAGAUGAAAAAAUAUUCUGUUGA